rnacentral:misc_RNA from 1 species
GCAAACUUGGUCAUUUAGAGGAAGUAAAAGUCGUAACAAGGUCUCCGUUGGUGAACCAGCGGAGGGAUCAUUACAGAGUGUAAAAACUCCCAAACCCACUGUGAACCUAUACCAAACGUUGCUUCGGCGGACCCGCCCCGGGCGCCUCCCCUCGCGGGGUGGUGCCCCGGACCCAGGCGGCCGCCGGGGACCCCCAAACACACUGUAUCUCCAUGUGUACCUCUGAGUGUUGAUUAUCACAAUCAAAAUUACAACUUUCAACAACGGAUCUCUUGGCUCUGGCAUCGAUGAAGAACGCAGC